rnacentral:misc_RNA from 1 species
AGUCGGCAGUCAGUCGGCCAACGAGCUCCGGCGAACACAGAUCGAUCUUCAGCGAUUUUUCCGAGUUUUGCCCAAACGCAGGAUGAGAUUGUAUAGCCUUCUGCCGCUCCUGGCGCUCCUUGUCGUCCAGGCUGCCGGACAAAGUCAAGUAACCUCUGAUGAUCCUGCAACGGAUGCUGGAUCAACGACCAACUCCACCGCGGACACCAAACCAAGAAUUCCAAGUCAGGAUGAGAUACUUGGCCAGAUGCCGCCCAUUAACCCCAUCCGCACUGGCAAUCCGCAGAUGGACGCAUUUUACAUGAUGUUCCCGGCGUUGGGCAGCCUGCUACGCUGGGGUAGCCUUUUCCCGGCCUACUCGAUCCUGGGCGCCAUUCCCGACAAUCUACAGCCUACAGCGGCAGCCUCGAAGGUGGUCCUCGUCCUGGCCGAUGAUGCGACGGCCAAGACCCGAGUUGCCCGUCAGAAUCCGCCACCAAAUCCACUUGGUCAGCUAAUGAAUUGGCCCGCUCUGCCGCAGGACUUCCAACUGCCUUCCAUGGAUCUGGGACCGCAAGUGGGCUCGUUUUUGUCCCAACUGCCUGCUAUGCCUGCUAUGCCUUCCAUGCCUGGUCUUCUGGGUGCCGCUGCUCCAGUUCCCGCUCCAGCUCCUGCUCCCGCUGCUGCUCCUCCGGCGCCAGCUCCAGCUGCGGAUCCUCCGGCACCACCAGCUCCAGAUGCAGCCCAACCAGCCAUACUGGGACAAGCCGCUCUGCAGAACGCUUUCACAUUCCUCAAUCCGUCUAACUUCGAUGCCUCCAGUCUUCUGGGCCAGAGUGUACCCACAUUUGCUCCUCCCAAUCUUGAUUUCGUCGCCCAAAUGCAAAGGCAAUUCUUCCCGGGAAUGACACCGGCACAACCUGCUCCCGCUGGAACGGAUGCCCAGGCCUCCGACAUUUCCGAGGUGAGGGUACGUCCUGAGGACCCGUAUUCGCAAGAGGCCCAGAUGAAGAUCAAAUCGGCACUUCAAAUGGAGCAGGAGAGGCAGCAACAGGUUCAGGUCAAGGAUCAGGAGCAAGUGCCUCUCCUCUGGUUCCGGAUGCCCACUACUCAGAAUCAUGAUGCGACUGAAGAAAAGACUCUGGAGGAUCUGAGGGUGGAGGCCAAAUUGAGGGCCUUCGAGCGCCAGGUGAUAGCCGAAUUGAAAAUGCUGCAGAAGAUCGAACUUAUGGCUAAGCAGAUGAGGUCCAGCGCCGCCGCGCAAAACGGAGAUACACCCUACAGAAUUAGUUAUCCACUGAGUCGGACACCCAUUCACAAGAUCACCCGUGCUGAUAUUGAGCAAGCCCUUCGAGAUGAUUAUGUCCGCCGAUUGGUCAACAAGGAGGCGCAACGAAAGGCCAGAAAUUCUGGCGUAAACACCCAGAAGGCAAAUGCUUUGAAGCGACAGGCCAAAUCCCAGGAUCAGACUCUGUCCAAGGAGGAUAUCGUCCAGAUUAUGGCGUAUGCCUAUCGCAUGGCCAACGAACAGAUGGAGAGUGAGAAGGGCAAGCAGGACAAGGUUUACGCCGCCUACAGGUCGGAACAGAAUCCAAUGAUGAUGGAGCAAAGACAAUGGUCGGAGGAGCAGGCCAAGAUCCAACAGAAUCCACAGCAGAUCCAGCAAAAUCCAAUGAUGAUGCAGCAAAGACAAUGGUCGGAGGAGCAGGCCAAGAUCCAACAGAAUCAACAGCAGAUCCAGCAAAACCCAAUGAUGAUGCAGCAAAGGCAAUGGACAGAGGAUCAGGCCAAGAUCCAGCAAAAUCAGCAGCAGAUCCAGCAAAACCCAAUGAUGAUGCAGCAAAGGCAAUGGGCGGAAGAUCAGGCCAAGGUUCAGCAUGAUCAACAGAUGGCACAACAGAUACCACAUCAAGGUCUCAUGAUGACGGAGCAGAGGCAAAGGCAGUGGUCAGAAGACCAAGCCAAAAUUCAGCAGGCUCAGCAGAUGGCCCAACAGACACCCAUGAUGAUGCCACAGAUGCAACAAAGGCAGUGGACAGAAGAUCCCCAAAUGGUUCAGCAGAUGCAACAGAGACAGUGGGCAGAAGAUCAGGCCAGGAUGCAAAUGGCCCAACAGAAUCCAAUGAUGCAACAGCAACGACAGAUGGCAGAGAAUCCGCAAAUGAUGCAGCAAAGGCAAUGGUCCGAGGAGCAGACCAAAAUCGAACAGGCUCAGCAGAUGGCACAACAGAAUCAAAUGAUGAUGCAGCAGAUGCAGCAAAGACAAUGGACCGAGGAUCAGGCCCAGAUUCAACAGCAGCAGAGACAGAUGAUGCAGCAGACCCCCAUGAUGAUGAAGGAGCGCCAGUGGGCCCAGGAGAACCCCCAGUCUGUCCAGCAGCAAGGGCCCAUGAUGAUGCAGCAGCAGACUCCAUCGAUGAUGCAGCGUGAAGUAGAGGACCAAGAUAAUGAGGCUGAGGAUAUCCUAGUUGGCGAGGCGGGUCCCCAAAUGCCGGAGAACGCAGGCACCGCCAGGCACAAAGUCGAUGCCCUGGGAGUUGGCGGCAACAAGCGCAAGAAGUCCAAGUCCAAGUCGGCGCCGCCAGCGGUGAUUAACUAUUACUAUGCGGCACCCCAGCGUCCGGUGGUUCAGAGUUACGGAACAAGCUACGGCGGAGGUGGCUACGGAUCGAAUGCCUAUGGUGUCCCUCGUCCAGUCAAUUCCUAUCAAAGUCAAGGCUACAGGGCUGCCGUGGGUAACGAUGAGGUAGAUGAUAUGCUACGCCAGCACCAGACAAUGGCCAGGGCGACGCAUUUCAGACAAUAAACCCGAAGCAACCAGGCGAAGUCGGUGGAUCGGAGAGCCAGAAGAGCAGCUCUAAUCCUCCAACGACGUUGACACCAGCUCCACAAGAGCAACCGCAAGAACAUCGAGUCCACAAAAGUCCAUCAUCAGCACCAUCCGAAACCGAAAUCGAAAACGCACCAUCAUCUGACCCCCAAGUGGGUUCCAUUUUCACCUACGGCGAGGGAUUGCUGCAUCCGUUUAUGGGUCUGCUGCCGGUGGAGAGGCCCGAUGAUCCCUGGAACCAGAAGCCAUACGAUCCUCACCAUCCUCUCUACACGGGCGGUGGGAGCUACGAUGCCUAUCUGAGGGACGGUCGCCAUCGAAGGGACACGCACAUCAUGGGUCAAGGUUCGCAGCAUGGCAUCCUGACUCCAGGCAUGUUGGAAAGACUUCUUCGGAUCAAAAUGGAUUUCCAGCGUAGAUUUCCCCAUUUGUACAAGGGUAUGCUGAAUCACCAUACGAAUCUUACCCGUGUGGAGGUACAGCCUCCGGUUCUGGGCAAGAUUUCUAGGCCGAAAGCUAAGACCAAGCCCAAGGAUGAGGACGAACCCGUCUUCGAAUUGGGAGCCGCAGAGCGUAGCCUGUUCGAGGACGAGACCAACGAUUCUCUAGAGAAAGAUCCCGAACCAGAACCGGAUGAGGAGGAUGACCGGGAUGUGGAGGAGCCAAGCGAGAGCAGUGAACCUAGGGGAUUCAGCAGCA